UAGUUUAUGGGAGUGGUCUUUUAACAUCAGGGAUUUGGAAAAUUGGUUCCUUGGUAAGUUUAAAGGCAGUGUAGAAACUGGGGCUUUGAGGAACAUAAAGGGAGGCCAGGAACCAAGACUUCGCAGUAAGCUAAAUAGAGAUGUAGGAACAAGGAGCUGCAGGUGCUGGUUUACAAAAAAAGACACUAAAGUGCUGGAAGAACUCAGCAGGUCCGGCAACAUCUCUGGAGAACAUGGAUAGGUAAUGUUUCAGGUUGGGUCAAAGCGUCACCUAACCAUCCACGUUCCCUAGAGUUGCUGCCAGAGUUGAGUUACAACAGCAAUUUGUGUCUUUUUUAAGCUAAAGGGAGUUUGGGAACUGAGGCUGGUGCGCUCUGCCCAAGACCACAAAGACAUUGAAGAUAGUUUUAGAUGUAGCUCAGUCCAUCACACAGACCAGACAUCUAGCAGAGGAACCGAAGCUUGAAAGUGUGCAGCACCAGACUCACGAACAACGUCUUCCUCUCUUAUCUGACUUCUGAAAGGUCUUUCCAUAAGCCAGGGUACAGUUUGAUUCAUUUCUUCCCCUUUGUGGACAUUGGACUCUGUCUGUGGAACUGAUGUGCCACAAUGCCGAGAACUACAUACAAACUAUACUCUUUCUAUAUUCUGUAUCUUCCUUUCGCAUUAUCUAUCGGACUUGCGUUUGACGUGAUUGUAUUAAUGUAUGUUUUCUCUAAUCUAUUUGGAUAGCAUGCAAAACAAAGAAUUUCACUGUUCCUUAGUACACGUUAACAAUUAAAAUAAACCUAAACUUAAAGAUGUAGAACUAUGGGGACUUCUGAACACUCAGACGGCAAAUUAUAAGAAUUUUGGUUUAUAAGUUCAUAAAUUGUUUCAUAAGUUGUCAUAAGAUUUUGUCAUGUUGCAUCAUUCCUGCUUGUAUACUGACUACAGAUGUGAAAAUUAUACAAUGUUUAUCCCAGUUACAUUGAGGCUAACAUAAAAGCUAUUGUGAUAUUUUCUUAUAUGCAAAAAUCUGUUUCUGAACUAUUCUGACUAGUCAGUAAAAGGCUGAAUUGCAUGAACAGAAACUGUACGUUUACAUGGAUCUUGGGUGAAAUGUAUGAAUAUCAAAUAAACAGUUGAUAAAUUAAAUGAUUAAAUAAGAUGCAUCAGAUGACCAGUACCAGGUUAUAUUACUAUUUUAGCCAUGACUAUUUUUGCUAUACUUUAAAAAAAAAAAAGGGCUUGAGUACCACUGAUCUGAGUACUCGAAGAUAAAUGGAUUUUAAAGAAAAUUGGACAGACAGAUGCAGAUUCAACAAUUUAAUGGAUUCAACAUAAUUAACACAGUAACAAAUAAUUAUAUUUGGGUUUCUUUUAGGUGUCAAAGGGGACUUGGGUUUCAUCAGUACCUGAAAUCAGCAGCUACGUUUCACAAGGGCAAAAAUGAAAAAAAUCAUUGUUGGAAUUGGAGGCAUGACAAAUGGUGGAAAAACCACAAUUGCAUGCAGUCUCAAGAAAGCACUUCCAAACAGCUCUUUAAUAAAUCAAGAUACAUUUUUCAAGGAGUCUGCUGAUGUGGAGUUUGGAGAAGAUGGCUUUCAGCAGUAUGAUGUCAUUACAGCUCUAGAUAUGGAAGCAAUGAUGAAUGCAGUAUAUGGCAGGAUGAAGAAUAUAGCUGUCUUCCGUGAGGAAGACAUAGCUCAAGAAUAUAAUGACCUUGGCAUCCUAAUAAUAGAAGGGUUCCUUCUUUACAAUUAUAAGCCAUUGAAUGAUGUUUUUAAUCAGCGCUAUUAUAUCUCCAUUCCAUAUGAGGAGUGCAAGAGACGAAGAUGUUUAAGAACUUAUGAACCACCAGACCCACCUGGAUAUUUUGAUGGACAUGUGUGGCCAAUGUACCUCAAAAAUAAAAAAGAAAUGGAAGAGAUAGCAGACAACAUAAUUUACUUGGAUGGAACAAAAUCCCCAGAAGAACUAUUUACUCAAGUUUACGAAGAUAUUUUAAGGGAAGUUCAGAAACUCAAGGCAUUUUUCAGCAUGUUGAAAAAUACGCCACGACCUAGCUGAGGCCUCGAGUACGCGGGGACUACUCUCGAGCAUGAAGGAGAGUUACAAAGACCUCCUAGGACCUCAUGUCUUCCAUGCUACAUCUGCUGACUAUUGCUGCUAAUAAUUCCAGCGAACAAAGGCUUACAGCAUCGAGCUUCUUUACCUGAAGAAAAUCUAGAGACGCAUUGGAAUGCACAUAACCAAAGCUUGGAAGCAAUCUAAUCAUUGACAAACUUUCCUACAGAGACUGCCUAUCCCCAAAAGUUUGAUUUCUACCUUAACAUCUUUCAAAUAAUGCUUUAUUUUAUUAUUGUGCCAGUAUGAAUCAUGACAAUUCCCUAUCUUUAUUAUUUCUUUUAACCUUCAUCUACCAAAUUAUAUUUUAUCAAGCUGUGCAUUCAAUGCCCAACAAAUUAUGAUUAUGAUGUAAUGGUCUGGAUUAUAAUGUGAUGUUUCCUCCUUCAGUCUUUACCUCAGAAUUUCAGGUAGGUUUACCAGUUAAAUAACACGAAGGCCCACUAUGAUCUCCGCAAAGAAUUGAAGGAUUCCAAAAGGCAAUACCGGAACAAACUUGAUUCCCAGUUUUAUCACUCAGACACACGGAGAAUAUGGCAUGGUUCGAAUAAGAUAACUGGUUGCAAAGCAAGGUCAAGCAACAUAAUUGGUGUUAAUGCGACCCAACCUGAUGAAUUUAAUGCUUUUUAUGCUCACUUUGAGCAGAAGGUCAACAGGGUGACACCCAGCCCUUUAGACUCAAAUGCGCCUCUUCCCUGGGUUACUAUUGCAAAGGUUAUGUCAACAAGCAACUUGCCCUGGUUAAGCAACAGGCCCAGAUGGAGUUCCUGGCCGUGUCCUUAGUAGCUGAGCGGACCAGCUAGCGGGAGUAUUAACAAACAUCUUUAAUCGCUCCCUCCUCUGUUCUGAGGUACCCACUUGCUUCAAGAAGACCCACCAUAAUGCUGGUGCUUAAUAAAAGCAAGACUUAAUACCUAAACGACUACAGUCCAGUUGCCUUGACAUCCACUGUCAUGAAAUGUUUUGAGAAGCUAGUUAUGGAACGCAUUAAAUCCAGUCUACCAAGCGACCUUGACCCACUGCAGUUCGCCUACCGCCACAACAGGUCCAUGGACGAUGCCAGCGCUCUAGCCUACACUAAUUGCUGGAACACCUGGAAAAGAGAGACACCUCCACAGCCGAGCACUAGGCCAUUAUCUCAAGCACCAUCACUGGCUUCAUCGCUUCCGGCUCCCUGCCCUGCCAAGCCUCAAACCUCAUCGUUCCCUAGCCCCGCACGGCCCGAUUUUAUCUUCUCUCCAAAAUCCACAAACCUGACUGUCCUGGCAGACCCAUUGUUUCUGCUUGUUCUUGUGCCACCAAACUUAUUUCCAAAUACCUUGACCAUCCUAUCCCCCCCAGUCAAAUCCCUCCCUACCUAUGUCCAAGACACCUCACAUGCUCUUCGUCUCCUCCAUGACUUCAGUUUUCCAGGCCCCCACUCCCUCAUCUUCACCAUGGAUGUCCAGUCACUCUACACCUCUAUCCCCCACCAGGAGGGUCUUAAAGCCCUCCGUUUUUUCCUCGACCACAGAACCAACCAAUCCCCAUCUACUAAUAUUCUCCUCCGCCAAGCUGAGCUGGUCCUUACCCUCAACAACUUUUCCAUUUACUCCUCCCAUUUCCUUCAAAUCCAAGGCAGAGCUAUGGGCACAUGCAUGGGCCCCAGCUAUGCCUGCUUCUUUGUAGAGUACGUUGAACAAUCCUUGUUCGAGGCGUACCGUGGCCCUAUCCCCAAACGCUACCUCAGCUACAUUGACGACUGCAUUGGUGCUACCUCCUGCACCCAUGCAGAACUGACUGACUUCAUCCAUUUCACCACUAACUUCCAUCCAGCACUCAAAUUCACCUGGACAAUUUCCGACAUCUCCCUACCAUUUCUAGACCUCACCAUCUCCAUCGCAGGUAACAGAGUACUGACCGACAUCUACUACAAACCCUCCGACUGCCAUGGCUAUCUGGACUACACUUCUUCCCACCCUGCUUCCUGUGACUCUAUCCCCUACUCCCAAUUCUUCCGUCUACGCCGCAUGUGCACCCAUGAUGUGUUCCAAACGAGGACAUCAGAGAUGUCCUAAUUCUUUAGGGAAUGGGGAUUCCUCUCUUCGACUAUAGAUCAGGCUCUCACCAGGGUCUCUAUAUCCCGUAGCUCCGCUCUCACUCCCCAUCCCCCCACUCGUAACAAGGACAGAGUCCCCCUUGUCCUCACCUUCCACCCUACCAGCCGUCACAUACAACAGAUAAUCCUCCGACAUUUUGGCCACCUCCUACGGGAUCCCACCACUAGACACAUCUUCCCAUCUCCUGUCCUUUUGGCUUUCCGCAGAGACAGUUCCCUCCAUAAUUCCCUGGUUAAUUCGUCCUUCCCCACCCAAACCACUCCCUCCCCAGAUACUUUCCGUUGCAUCCGCAGGAAAUGCUAAACUUGUCGCUUUACCUUCCCUCUUGACUCCAUCCAAGGACCCAAGCAGUCUUUCCAGGUGAGGCAGAGGUUCACCUGCACCUCCUCCAACCUCAUCUAUUGCAUCCGCUUUUCCAGGUAUCAACUGCUCUACAUCGGUGAGACCAGGCUUGGCGAUCGCUUCGCUCAACACCUCCGCUCAGUUCGCAAUAACCAACCUGAUCUCCCGGUGGCUCAGCACUUCAACUCCCCCUCCCAUUCCGAAUCUGACCUUUCGGUCCUGGGCCUCCUCCAUGGUCAGAGUGAGUCCCACCGCUAAUUAGAGGAGCAGCAUCUCAUAUUUCGCCCCAGGGUAUGAACAUUGACUUCUCCAAUUUCAGGUAGUCCUUGCUUUCUCCUUUCCCUCCCUUUCCCAGCUCUCCCACAGCCUACUGUCUUCGCUUCUUCCUUUCUUUUUCCCGCGCCCACCCCUACAUCAGUCUGAAGAAGGGUCUCGACCCGAAACGUCGUCUAUUCCUUCGCUCCAAUGAUGCUGCCUCACCUGCUGAGUUUCUCCAGCAUUUCUGUCUACCUCCGUCACACUCCUAUUCAGAGAAUACACCUAUGCCUUUAAUACCAUUAUAUCAUCCAAGCUUAUCACCAAAUUCACGGGACUUGGUCAGAAUUCUUCUCUGCAAGUGGAUCCUCGACUUCCUGACCAACGGACCCCAAUCAGUGAAGAUAGGGGACAAAUCAUCCUCUACGAUAAUCCUUAACACUGGUGCUCCGCAAGGAUGCGUUCUCAGUUCCCUUGUUUACGCCUUGUACACCCACGGCUGCUCCUCCCAAGUACAAAUCUAACUCAGUUUACAAAUUUGUUGAUGUCACCACCAUUGUGGGCAGGAUAUCAAAUAAUGAUGAGACGGAGUACUGGAAGGAGAUUGAGAACCUUGUGUCCUGAUGUCAAGACAACACCCUUUCAAUGUCAGCAAGACAAAGGAGAUAGUGAUUGACUUCAGGAAGCGAAGUAGUACACAUACACCAGUUUGCAUUGACGGUGCCGAAGUAAAAAACUUCUAGAAAACUUAAAUUCCUAGGAGUAAAUAUCACCAACAACUUCUCCUGGACCACCCAUACUGAAGCAACAGCCAAAAAAGCACACCAACGCCUCUACUUCCUUAGAACGCUGAGUAUGUUCGGCAUGUUCCCAACAACUCUCACCAACUUAUACAGAUUCGCCGUAAAGAUCAUUUUAUCAGGAUGCAUCACAGCUUGGUUUGGGAACAGCUCCAUCCAAGACCGCAAGAAAUUGCAGAAUAUUAUGGACGCAGCCCAGACACUCACACAAACCAACCUCCCUUCCAUUUGCUCCAUUUAUACCUCACGUUGCCUUGGCAAGGCCAGCAGCAUAAUCAAGAACAAGUCGCACCUUGGCCAUUCACCUCACCCUUCGGGUAUAGGUAUAGAAGUGUGAAAAUGCACACCUCCAGAUUCUGGGACUAUUUCAUCCUAGCUGUUAUCAGCCAACUGAAUCCUCCUAGCAAAACUAGAGUACAGUCCUGAACUACUAUCCACCUCAUUGGAGACCCUCGGACUAUCUUUGAUCGGAGUUUACUUGCUUUAUCUUGCACUAAACGUUAUCAUGUAUUUGUACACUGUGAAUGGCUCGAUUGUAAUCAUGUAUUGCCUUUCCGCUGACUUGUUAGCAUGCAACAAAAACAUUUCACUGUACACGUGACAUUAAACUAACUAAACUAAA